CAGACAGUGGGUUAGGGUAUGAAACAGACAGACAGUGGGUUAGGGUAUGAAACAGACAGACAGUGGGUUAGGGUAUGAAACAGACAGUGGGGUAGGAAACAGACAGACAGUGGGUUAUGGUAUGAAACAGACAGUGUGUUAGGGUAUGAAACAGACAGACAGCAGGUUAGGGUAUGAAACAGACAGUGGGUUAGGGUAGGAAACAAACAGUGGGUUAGGGUAGGAAACAGAGCGACAGUGGGUUAGGGUAGGAAACAGAGAGACAGUGAGUUACGGUGUGAUACAGACAGACAGUGUGUUAGGGUAGGAAACAGACAGUGGGUUAGGGUAGGAAACAGAGAGACAGUGGGUUAGGGUAGGAAACAGACAGACAGUGGUUUAGGGUAGGAAACAGACAGACAGUGGGUUAGGGUAGGAAACAGACAGACAGUGGGUUAGGGUAGUAAACAGACAGACAGUGGGUUAGGGUAGGAAACAGACAGACAGUGGGUUAGGGUAGGAAACAGACAGACAGUGGGUUAGGGUAGGAAACAGACAGUGGUUUAGGGUAUGAAACAGACAGUGGGUUAGGGUAGGAAACAGACAGACAGUGGGUUAGGGUAGGAAACAGACAGUGGUUUAGGGUAGGAAACAGACAGUGGGUUAGGGUAGGAAACAGACAGUGGGUUAGGGUAGGAAACAGACAGUGGGUUAGGGUAGGAAACAGACAGACAGUGGGUUAGGGUAUGAAACAGACAGACUGUGGGUUAGGGUAUGAAACAGACAGACAGUGGGUUAGGGUAUGAAACAGACAGACAGUGGGUUAGGGUAGGAAACAGACAGUGGGUUAGGGUAAUAAACAGACAGUGGGUUAGGGUAGGAAACAGACAGACAGUGGGUUAGGGUAGGAAACAGACAGACAGUGUGUUAGGGUAGGAAAAAGACAGUGGGUUAGGGUAGUAAA
rnacentral:lncRNA from 1 species